UCGAGGUUGCUUUGAUAGGGCCCGAGUUGGUUUAUGAGGAUAUGAAAAAGGUUUAACUUAUUGGUGAGAGCUUAAAAUGGAUCAAAGUCGACAAAAGUCUUAUUUUGAUGUUUGAAGAAGAGAACUAGAAUUUGAUGUUAAUGUUUGGGUCUACUUGAAAAUUUAACCAAUGAAGGGUGUAAUAAUAUUUGGAAAGAAAUAGAAGCGUAGUUCCGGUAUAUGAGCGAACAUCCCUCAGCUGAAAUAUUCUGUUACUAUCCUAAACUUAGCAAUAAUCAUCCUUUCACUUUUUUUAUGAAACUAAUAAAUGAAAUAAUAAUAUUUCGAGUAGGUGAGCUUCCCCAAAAAUCUCCAUAUUCUAUCAUCUGCAUCCUUUAAUAAAGAUGGGUGGACUUUCUUUUAUGCUUUCAAGUAGUAAAAUAAUCAUCUUCAAUUGAAAGAGAUGGACUUUAUAUAAGGGAUCAAGAUUAUGUCUAUUUCAAUCGAAAAGAAAAAAGCCUACCGUCAAUCCAAUUUAUGAGAUGCAUUUCCAUGAAAAAUGAUUAGCCUCAAAGCACAAAAAAAAUGUUACACAAAAGAAAAGCAGCAGGUGAAGAAAUAAAAUAUCAUGGUUACACAAGAAGUCUGGCAAUUGGUUUCGAGAGAAGAUGAGAAAGUAAAGUAUUGUGUUAGUCUCGCUUUGAAUUUCUUGUACUAAACGUAUCUACGAUUGUUUAGUGGAAUAAAAUAGUUCUAUGAGUUGGU